AUUGAACGCUGGCGGCAUGCCUUACACAUGCAAGUCGAACGGCAGCACGGGUGCGUGCACCUGGUGGCGAGUGGCGAACGGGUGAGUAAUACAUCGGAACAUGUCCUGUAGUGGGGGAUAGCCCGGCGAAAGCCGGAUUAAUACCGCAUACGAUCCACGGAUGAAAGCGGGGGACCUUCGGGCCUCGCGCUAUAGGGUUGGCCGAUGGCUGAUUAGCUAGUUGGUGGGGUAACGGCCUACCAAGGCGACGAUCAGUAGCUGGUCUGAGAGGACGACCAGCCACACUGGGACUGAGACACGGCCCAGACUCCUACGGGAGGCAGCAGUGGGGAAUUUUGGACAAUGGGCGAAAGCCUGAUCCAGCAAUGCCGCGUGUGUGAAGAAGGCCUUCGGGUUGUAAAGCACUUUUGUCCGGAAAGAAAUCCUUGGCUCUAAUACAGUCGGGGGAUGACGGUACCGGAAGAAUAAGCACCGGCUAACUACGUG
rnacentral:rRNA from 1 species